rnacentral:rRNA from 1 species
CAGCAGCCACGGGAAUACGUAGGGUGCAAGCGUUAAUCGGAAUUACUGGGCGUAAAGCGUGCGCAGGCGGUUAUAUAAGACAGAUGUGAAAUCCCCGGGCUCAACCUGGGAACUGCAUUUGUGACUGUAUAGCUAGAGUACGGCAGAGGGGGAUGGAAUUCCGCGUGUAGCAGUGAAAUGCGUAGAUAUGCGGAGGAACACCGAUGGCGAAGGCAAUCCCCUGGGCCUGUACUGACGCUCAUGCACGAAAGCGUGGGGAGCAAACAGGAUUAGAUACCCGGGUAGUCCCUGUCUCUUAUAC